GUGUGUGUGUUGGAUGUUUAAUGAUUUUAUUUUCUUAUUUUAAAUGGAACAGAAGGUUGAAUUCAUCCCCAGAUGGGAAAUAAAAGAGCUUGCAGGAAAGGGGAAGCAUGAGCUCCUCUUCAGAGUAUCCGAGGAUGGGCAUUUGAUGGGCCUGUAAUAGCUGGGCUCUGUCUGCCACUGGCUGACUCCUCAUCUUCUUAGCUAAUAGCUACGUUCUUGCCAUAUCUCAUUUGGAUUCUUCUUAAAGGUCGUCCAGGUUUCUUCUCAACUCCGUGUCUAGUUUGUUUCUUUCAGAUUCCCACAACUGAAGAGGUGCUUCCUGAACGCCCUUCAGUCUGGUGGUGUCCUCGAGUACCUUAUUCACCAUCAAGUUGACUUCAUGAAAGCCAUUGAGAAUUUGGAAGACGUGGAUUAGGACCCUACACAGUCUCCUCUGCCUUAGACUAAACAGAUUCCCACAACUGAAGAGGUGCUUCCUGAACGCCCUUCAGUCUGGUGGUGUCCUCGAGUACCUUAUUCACCAUCAAGUUGACUUCAUGAAAGCCAUUGAGAAUUUGGAAGACGUGGAUUAGGACCCUACACAGUCUCCUCUGCCUUAGACUAAACAGGCUGAAGAUCAUCAUUGCCUUCCAGGUGUCAUGGAGCUCCAGUCUCUGGGGUGUGCAGCCUGCAAAUGGUUCUUCAGUUCAGACCUGGGGGACCCCAUCAUGGCUGUUAUUUUGUAUUCCCCACCAUUGCCUCAUGUUUACUUUUCAUUGUUUUCUGGCCUACGAGAUUCAUAAUUAUUUGUAUUUGUUAUUGAAUCGUAAAAGGCUUGCACUUCUUUUGCCAUUUUCUCCUGAGUUUGUCCUUUUCUGUGGAGUUUGCUCCCUCAUCCCUUGAUGGUGAUGUUG